AGGUCUAUUGCACUCAUAUCGCACCCGAUUAUGAUCUUCCUUGGCAGAAGCAAAGGCAACAUUCAAGUAGUGGGAGUGCUUUUAUGAUUGGGGAUGGUAAACUCUUGACAAAUGUGCAUUGCGUUGAGCACGACACCCAGGUCAAAGUAAAGAGAAGGGGAGAUGACAAAA